AUCGCUUCUCGGCUCAAUGAGCUAAGAUCAAAGUGUAGUGUCUGUUCUUAUCAGCUUAAUAUCUGGUACGUCUCGCAUUGCGAGACCAGUAUAUUAAACUUCUUUUUGGAACAUGGUAGAAUGUUAGGAGCUUGCUCCUCUUCUACCGCGGGUUGACCCGGUAUAGCAGUACCACAGGGAUCGGCCCUAUUUAA